CUGCCAUAUGAAGCCAGAGCCCCUCUUUCAUGACCUACAGCAGUGUUAAGACAGUAUCGGUGAUCCUCAUCUCUUUUAAACUCCAUCAUUCAGAAGAAAUUGAAAGAAAACCUACCUACAAUCAGGCCCCUUAGGCCUGCUGACUUGCCAGUGCGGCCUUGAAGAUGGAUUAUAAAUUAUGAAGCAGCUAAGAAGUGGUGGGAACAGCAAUCAUCUUAGCCACUGAUGGAGAAACAAAUACAUGUAUUCAAAAUAAGCUUAUAGUAACAUCAAGGUCACCCUCUUAAAAGCUUUUUGCACCCUUAAGUGGGAGGAAAAGGCGUAGAGACACUGCCUACAUCACUGAGUAUAUCCAGGAAACUGUGAGGUGAAAACCAGGCUGAAGUAACUUACAGGGGGAAUGUGGUCUUCCAAUCUCCUAACAGGGUGGCCUAUACACAUUUUGAGCCUUACAAAAUAAGGGCAAAGGCAGAGGAAGGCAGUCAUGGGAAUGAAUCAGAAACUCCAAUGGCACAAUCAUGAAAUAUUCAAAGAUGCAGUGAAGACAGGUAGAUUCGCACCAAUUGCGAACUGGACCUUCGUGUGCUACAGAAAAAAGUGACCCUCAGAGGGAUGCCUGGAAACACCUGGAGUACCCAAGGCUGGCCUGCAUAUAAGUGGCAGAAGUUAGAGGUGGCCCUUGAGUGUGUCCUGUUGGCAGUCUCGCUGGCUUCUCAGUUGCUAGAAGAACCAAAAGAGUUUCAAGGAUUCCUGAGGAUACAGGUUUAUUUCUUUGAGUAUUGAUGUUCCAUGGUGGUUCUGGGCUACCUAAGCCCUAGAUUUGAUCCAUGUUCCCAAGGCUAGUGAUGGUCCAGACGUAGCAAGUCUUGGAUGAUGGCAAAAGAUUUUUUUCAGAUUUAUCUGACUCUAGGUGCAAUGAACAGUUAAAUUCAUAUUGCCCUUGAAUUUAACAGUGAGUCUAAAGGCCUGCACUAUUAUGUCUUUUGACCUUAUAACUGUUUCUAUGUAAAUAUUUCAUUAAUACUAAAAAAAGGUAAGAGGCCAGGGAAAAGCUUAAAAAGUUGAAAUUAUGGUGAA